rnacentral:rRNA from 1 species
GACGAACGCUGGCGGCGUGCUUAACACAUGCAAGUCGAACGAUGAAGAAGAGAAACGCGAACUUCGGUUCAAAUUUCACUUCGGAUUAGUGGCAGACGGGUGAGUAACGCGUGAGCAACCUACCUCUUACAAAGGGAUAGCCUCGGGAAACCGUGAUUAAUACCAUAUGACACAUUCAUAAGGCCUCUUAAGAAUGUUAAAGCUACGGCGGUAAGAGAUGGGCUCGCGUCCCAUUAGCUAGUUGGUGAGGUAACGGCCCACCAAGGCGACGAUGGGUAACCGGGCUGAGAGGGUGAACGGACACAUUGGAACUGAGACACGGUCCAGACUCCUACGGGAGGCAGCAGUGGGGAAUAUUGCACAAUGGAGGGAACUCUGAUGCAGCGACGCCGCGUGAGCGAUGAAGGAAUUAGUGUCGUAAAGCUCUGUUAUAUGGGAAGAAAAGGACUGUACCAUAGGAGAAAGCCCCGGCUAAAUACGUG